rnacentral:lncRNA from 1 species
UGUGGAUAGUAUGUUCGGAUGUUUGACAGUGUCUUACGACAAAAGGAGUUCUAUUUUUUUCCUAUAUGGUGUUAUUAACUGUGUUGCACGAUGACAACCAAUCUGAGCAUUAGGAGUGUUAUUUGUUCAAUAUUUAGUUUUUAUGUUCAAGACCGGCAUGGAGGAGACAGUAAUUGCAUUAGUUACCAAAUGAUUAUGAUUGAG